GAUUUAUUUUUACAAAGUAUGGACCUUUUAAGUGAGAAAAAAAAUGUUGUUUUCCAGAUUAUAUGGAGCCUGAUUGGUAGUAAACACAUGUAUUUCAUUGUUUAUUUUCAGAUAUCUCUUUCUACAUUCGCCUGCUCCCCUUUGCUUUGAUAGCAGAACAAUUGCAAGCCCAAUAGGUGCUAAUACAUUGUUCGAUAUUCAGGUUAUCAAUUGCUUCAGUGGUCUCUACGUAUUUCAAUAGUUGGAGGCUUGGGCCACAGUUUUACGAUCCUUUUACAACCAUUUCUUCUGAUUUUGGUUGUUAAACAAAUGUAAUAUUUUUGUAUGACAUCUCUCAUCUAUGAUGCUGCUAUCAAGGGCCGCUGCACUGUUUGCACUGAGUCUCUGCUUCAAAAAAAUUCUUUGUCCAGGUUGAAUUUGGUAUAUUGGAGUUCAAUCGGUCCAUUUUCCCAUAUGUGCCAAAACCACAUUAAUUUGUAGUAAGAAGUAUGAUCUGCUGUGGGCUACCUAGCUUCACAAUUUGCUUCUAAAAAUGUACUGUACCAUGUCACCAUAUCAUGAUCCCCAGUGUUCCAGACCAAAAGGCACAAAAAGCUUUAAGAAUAGCAAAUCUCUCGCCCAGGUUGCUGGACUAUGCUGCUGUUGCCAUGAGUGAUCGGCGUGCAAAUGGUCAUCGCAGUGUCACUCCUUCUGCUCCAUGAUAUUUGCCUUCGCUUUGGCGGCGCAUCGACGGCUUGGUGAAUUCGUGUUACGGUGAUUCCACACCAGCUGUUGUUGAUCCUUUUUUUCGUGUCAUCUGUUGAUCAUGUUGGGGUGUCUUCUGCUGUUAAUUCUUCUACGGAUAUUGAUGCUCGAAGGUUUUCAAUGUAUUAUCCAACCAACAUCAGAUACUUUGCGGAGCUCCAAGAGACGGUUCCCGUCCUGCACUACAAUUGUUUAUCGCAUAUAGCAAACAUAAUUUAUGGUUGCCAGUGAAUCCAGAUAACUCUGCUUUGCCAUAUUAAUUUUACACUCCACAAUUAUUUGGUUAUUUGAACUACGGAUUUGAAGGGCAAAUUUCUGUAGCAACUUCAUUUAAUUCAAAUAAAGGGCUUAUCAAAACAAGCAGUUAAAUCACACAAGGUUAACCUUAACGCUUGACAGUAGCAUCUCUCUUGAGGCGUGUCAAGAAAGGGCUUAAAGAUGCUUGUAAUAGUUAUUUUGGAUACGUGGAUCUGGUCCUUGCGACAUUGUAUUUUUUAAUUUGCACCUCCAAUUUAUAAUAUUGCUGUUUUAAUUUUCAGAUCUUCGCAAACACGAUAUAUACAUGUGAGUUUUGUUUUAUCCUCAACAGACUAGCAACAUCGCUGUUUGGCAACAUGCCACUACUGGCUAAUUUGAAAUAUGGCUUCAGAAUUUAGACAAUUAGAAGCAAAAGGUAGUGAAAGGUGAAGUUGGCCAGCCACCGUGGGAGUCUCCCGGUUAGCCUGUUGGAGUAGCGGUUGAGGAUGGAAAACCAGUCGCCCACAUUGUCUGAUGUGUCAGCGGGAUCUCUCCAGAGUGGUCAUUGUUGCCGAGGUGCUGUAGCGGGAUGCAGCAUGGAGAUUUUGGCGGAGACUUCUGUUUGCAACGUGCGACAGAAAAAGAAAAGAAGAGGAAUAGACACAUCGAGCCUUGCCUGUGGGCAUCCUCUACCUAGAUGAAGCUGGUGUAACUUGAACAGAUUGCUUAUGCGAUGCCUGAGGAUAUGGAAAAGAUAUGUGGUGGAGAAAAAGAAGAGUGCUUGUACUUCUUCUUGAUCUUUUUUCCCUUCCGGUGAAAUAACCAUGGCAUGCUUCUACGUGAUUUUCACUGAAAUAUUUAAAACGCAGUGCUCAGCAAUGCAUCUCUGGUUGUUUGAUAUUAGAA